UGAUAAGGUAUAUCACUUACACAGUAUUUGCUGUACUAUAUAGUACAUGCUGCAAGCUGUAUGUAACAUAGUGCUACAUACAGUACAAGUUGAUGUACUCUGUGCUUAUAAAUAAAUUUGUAUAUUUGCAUAUAGUAACAUCCAUAUAGAAAUAGCAUAUUAUAUUAUCCUAUGUUAACCAUUACAGGCAUAUACAUCUUCUGUAUAUACCUAUGUGCCUCAUUCAGCUUCUUUCAAUACCUCUUUUCAGAGCACCCUCUGUAGGAAAGGUGAUCUUAAUUGACUUACUGUUGCUGUGUGCUUCAUUGCAUUGGUGUUUUCUAGUCCAAGGCAGAGGCAGAUCAUAAACUAGCUGCAGUUGUAACAGUGUGGGAUUCUGGCCUGCAGUCUGCACAAGUUCACACACAGGCUGUUAAGUGCCUGUCACCUGCUUAAAGACACAAAAAUUGCCAUGAGCCCUCAGACUAGAAGUUGAUAUAUGAAUUAAUUUUUUAUUCUGACUUUUAUUGCAGUGAUAUCAUGUUUUUCAGUGAAUACACUCCUCUGUGAGUGUCUGUAGAAUGAAGGCACUGAAAUAAUUUGGUUCUCAGUUGCAGAUUGAAAAAAACCCUGUUGUCAUUCUGCAUCUUUCCAGUCUUGGUGCACCUUUGCUGUAGGAAGCCCAUUACUCAAAGUAAAAAUAUCCAUACCUACCUCUAAGGCUCACGGUGACACAGAACACAGCACGUUGUAACUACAGGAACAGACUCAACUGUGAAAGAUCUCUAUCAGGCAUCACAGAGAAUUUGAAGCAGCUGGCAGUUAUCAGCUGAAGCAGUUAGUCAGUAGAACUGUACAAGAUAAAUAGAUAAUUGCAAAGCCAUCUGGAAACCUAAGAGAGAUAAUAAGCCUCUCUUCUGGAAGGGGGGUAACAACUCAGGUAGGUCACUGAUGAACUCAACUCCCAGAUCAGUGCUAAUAUCACUUAAAAUACAGUGGUGAUUCAUGCCUGUCAGCUCUGAGGUAAUAUUCAAGUUGUUGUUGGAAAUGCAGUUUGGCACGUUCAGUUAUACAAAUCAUGAUUGCAACAGAGUGAAGAAGGAUUGUACUGCUGAAAGACGAGUGACCAAUAUCCCAGGAGCAACAUGGCCCUUUGUUAAAUUACAGUUGCCAAAUAGAAAACUAGUAACAUUCCCUUUUUACCUUCCAUGCUACUUUGUUUAUAUUGCCAUGUAACCAGUAGUAUUCCUGCCACAUUGACCACGGUUGUCUGUAGGGUGAGUUCUUUUUUGUGUAAUUUAUUUUUGUAUUCAAAUAACAGAACUAUUCUGGUUUCUCUACCAUGAGCACAGAGAAGGGAGGGAAAAGGCCAAUGUCUAUAAGUAAAAGAAUGUGUUGAUCUAAGUAGCUUCAUUUUAAAAGAGUCCUAAAAUCAUCUUCCUGUUCAAGUCAAUCUCAUGAUUCUCAAAUUUCUGACUACAGAAAGUGUGAAAUCUUGCAUGAACAUGCAAGGAAACUGAUACCGUUUGGUAACUCUUCUUGCUGGGUUCUGAUCUCUCGUAGAUCUAUAUUGGUUGUAGGGAGAUAGCAUGAGAUAUUUUUGUGAGAGUGGGUACAGAAAAGAAGUUUCUGGCCUUUUUCAAAAAAGGAAGUGGCAUCUUUCCACCAGAGAAGUGCUUGAAUUUAUCCACUGACAUCUGUAUACUUUGUUAAACCACUCAGUUGGACCACAGGAAUAACUGAUGCCAGUGUAAUAUUAAUUCUUGUGAAGCUGAACAAAACAGAAAAAAAACCAUAAAAAAAACAACAAAACAAAAACCAAUAAAUACUUUGCUGCUCAAUUUACUUUGAAAGAUGCUUUUAAAAAUCUGUCUACAAGAAUUCUGUCUAAAAAUUCUCUGCAUUUACACUGAAAGAACAUAAAGAAAAACACAUGUAUCAAAUAUUUUUAAGAGUAUUAAUUGCUACAGUUAUAGUACUAACUAGGCAAGCAACAUAUUACAUUCACAAAAUCCAUUAAGAAAAUUUGCAUGUGUUCAUGUUGCUGGUUGCAGAAAUAAUGUGAGUCAUUUGAACAGUCUCUGUAAAUCUUAAAAAGUAACUGCUGUUUUUAUUUUUUAUGUAUUGUUUUAAUAUUUGUUUUACUAAGAUACUGGACAUGAAUUAGUUGUGUGCCUCUGUAAAUUCUGCUUUUAAGUAGUGACUGUUGAGUAUGUCUUUCCUUUGAUAUCUCAUUCUAUGACUGCCAGAACAAAAAGAGGCAAAGUUUUAAAGCUUAGAAAUGCACCAAAAGUCUUAAAUUACCAUUUGCUAUUUUGAAGCCUGAUUCAUCUUUCCAUUAUAGUCCUGGUGAUAGAAUUCAGGUGAGUCUAGAUCCAUUUUUUAUAUCAGUUUCUCGGUUUAGAUGCAAUUGUACAAUUAUAAAUUACCAUUGUGUUAUAAGAUAUGCCUAACUUCAUUAGACUACAAAAUUUCUUAGGUAGCAGGAGAAUUUUAUUUCUGACUUAUGUAUUUUUAUUUGUUUUUAAAAGAAGAUGAAAUGAAGUAGCCAAAAAGAUUGCUUUCUAAAUAAAAUUCCAGAGUCUGCCUAAAUAUUCUAUAAGAAUCCAGUAUAUCAAUAAUUAUAAUUUAAAAAGAUGUUGACAACAUGCUGUUGUAAACAGUGCAAAUAAUACUUAGAAUAAUAUACCCAGCCAGAAGUGAAAAAGCAUCACUCCCAGGGAAACAUCCUUAUAAUUAGGAUAGACACAAAUCUAUUUUACUUUUUCCUCUCCCUUAUGAAUCCUUUGAGUAUUUCAGUCUUUUUCUGUGCUGUGAUCCAGAUUCAACAGGAAAAGUGGAGAAUAAAUAGUUCAGCUCAGGCUCAUGCGAUAUAACUCUCUGAGAUUUAGGUACUGCUACAAGAGGUCUGAACAGAGGAAGUACUUAGACACUCUUUGUGGUCAAGUUCACUAAUUGUGCGUGAAGGGAGACAUCCUUCAUUAUCUUUUGUGUUCUAUGUGUGUGGUUCUAAAGUGAAGUGUGAGGAAGGAAAAGUCAACUUUCUAUUUGGGGAAGGUCUCAGACUGCUAAUCCAAACCCCAAAAAUUUUCCCCAAAAAUUAUGUAGCAUGGCAAUGUGUUUGCAGGUGUUCACAUGUCCUCUUACUUUUUGGUGACUUUCUUAUACUUUAACAAUUAGGCCUGAUGGAGCUUCUGCGGGUGCCCCAGGAUCACACUAUUCUGUUUUGUUUAUUCCACAAAAUUAGUAAUAAUAAUUUCUUUUUUAAAGUUUCCAUUUUAUUGUCAGUCAUUGUCUCAUUAUCAGUAAUGUCUUUGGGGACACCGGUCUGAUACUGAAGUGGUAUUCAAAUAUCUACUUCUUGUCAAAUAACUUGAAUUCUGUAGAAAUUUAUUGUGGUCUAGGGUGAGACUUAGGUGGGGAUUGAGACAUCUAAGGAAUCUAUAUGGAAGGGCUCAGGCAUAAACUAUGUGUGUAACCUCUUGCUCUAGACAACAGAGUCAAUAUGUGGACCCUUCUCCGUGCCUUGUCUGCUGAUGAACUGCUUUGCAUAUGUUUCAGAGGGAGCUGAGUUGCUCUCUAAGCUCCACCUGAACACAGAGAAAAAUUAUGGCAUUGUGUGAAAUGUACGGUCAGUUUCUGUCUUGCAGCUCUCCACAGGAUGAAAUUCCCAGAAACUGGAAAAACACUAUACUGUUAUCACUAAGUUCCUGAAAAAAUAGUGAAAAGAACUUUCUUGAGUUUCUCCCAAAGACGAAUCAGGAUUCCGUAAAAUUGUUGGAUCUUUGCUUGUCAUUUGCUGUCACUCAUGGACAUCAUACAACAGUACUUGAAGCUAUUGGCCAGAUGGUGUGAACCCCCAUAAAGCUCUGCAGGAACAGGAGUGUUUUACUCAUUGACAAGCCCAAAGCUACGGCUAAUGAACCCAGGCCAGCAAUGCAGCUACCACAGAUCUGCCCUCAGCUGGCAGCUGAUACGUGAUAUUCAUGGAGAAGAUAUUUUUCCGAUGUGUGCAACAUCUAUUUGCUGAUUGUGUUCAGACUUGGCACAGUGCUUUUGUCAUGCAUUUCUGUCAUUAUCCUGAACAAAAGAGGUGAAGAUAGAGUGGCUUAAAAAGUAAAGAAAAAACCAUCCAGACAAACAGCUCACCCUCCAAAAAAAAUCUCAAACCAAAACAAAAGUUUGGAUGGAGAAAAUCCCUCUCUAUUAUUUGGGGUAAUUUAUUGGUCUUUGUCUGAGUAUUUCAUUUAGAUUGUGGUAUGGUAAUUAUUUUUAUUGUGAAUUAACUCAGAGGGGCUCAGAUUAGCAAAUGAGUGCUUUUCUAAAUCUUACUAAGAAAGAUCAAUAAGUGAUUCUAAAAUUACUUGUGACAGAUCUCAGCAAUAACAGAGGAAUAUAGUUUUCAAUUCACUUGUGUACUUCGGUGCAUUUAUGUAAAUGAGACUGAUUAUAUGUUAUGGCUGUGCAAAGAAUUGAUUUUUUAAUUUAGCUUCUGAAUUAAGCAAUAGAAAUAAUUUUUGUUCUGCGAAACCAGUGGUUUGUGGUUGGGUUUGGUUUUUUUUCACUUUAAGUUCCAGAAUGAUUAAAAUAAAAUCACUUAGUUUGAGACUAAAGUGUUUUGUGGCCUGUAUAAACAAUUUUCCUUAAGCACAGGUAAGAAAAGGCAAAGAAGGAGUUGGACCAGGUCCAGACAAAGCUGCUGGAGAAAGCCGAAUCUUUCUUUCUGUUUGAGUAUUAUAACAUCCAUCUGCACUAUGCAGCUUAGGUUUAGUUUUCAGGUCAUCUUAUGGGAAUUAAAUCUUAAACUUCUCUAAUCCUAAAUGCUGAGCUUUGAAUGGUUUUGAAAAGAGGACAAUUCUAGCACAAUUAAGAGAAACCUCAUUUUCUCUUUUCUCUGCAUUAUUGUCAGAAUAUCUGUAGCCUCAGGAGAAAUUAAUAAUUUAAACUAUGAAAUAAACUGUCUCAGAUUCCUACCCUCAAUGAGAAAGAGAACACAAUUGAGUUCAUGUAAGUACCAAUAACAGGUUGGAUGUGGAGCUUGUGAAGGCUGGGAAAUUUGUGGAUAAGAUAUCCACAUGUUGGGGAUACUCUAUUAUAUAUGAGACAUCAUCACUGGCUCAGAGAGAGCAAUAGCUUGAUAAUAUGGGGUUCAGAAAACUUUUCAAGAACCACUGGAUUUGAAAGCACUAAUAAAAUACAGCAGAGUUGAAACUAAACAUGCUCUCCCAUUUCUUCUCUGUACCCUGGAGUUAGGAUGCUAACCUAGGAUCUGUGAGAAACCUGGGAAUUUAUUCAUUGGACUGCCAUAUUUUGCAUGAAUCUCAGGAGCACUAGAUUAAACAGGCCUAAUGAUAGUCCUAUAUUUGCAUGUAUGUAACAAAAAUUUGAAAAUUCUGGUAAUGAGCACAUUUGGCUUGCACUCAUAUCAUUUUGAAGUGACUGAAAAGACUUUUGUGGAAGAAUUUAUACUUUGUCAAAUUAUCAUCAACAUCAUCAUCAUCAUCUCUACUCAUGUCUCCUCAUCUGUCACCAGCCUUAGUUGCAGUCCUUCAAUGGAUGAAGAUGGAGCAGAAAUAAAAGAUACCAUUGGGAAGACUUAGCACAAUAAGGGUGUUUGAUAUGGAGUAUGUUUCCUUUUGCAUCCUGUUACUAAAUUUCUACAGUUACAGGAAAGGGGAGAACUAUUUCUAGUUUGUCAAAUGUACCAAGUUUUGGUCUUACAGAAUAAAAACAUUUGACUUUAAGAAUUGAAGAGCUUAAAUGCAGAUUCAGGAAAAAAAUUAAGAUACUGAUGCAUUUCAAAUUUGGAACAUGACUGUAUGAAAAAGGGCAAUGGGCAAACAGAGCAGUAGCUCCCUCUGUUCCUCUGCUUAUGGGGUGUAGUGACUUCCUUGACUGUUUUGGACUGAUUUUAGUUUCUUUGUCAUGUAUUUCAGUAUUUUGCAGACUGAACAAAGGAACAUCAAUCAGAAUUACAACAGAUGCUGUUUCCUGCUGUGUUAUUACAUCCUAAAUACAAAAGUCUUCUUUCUCUCUGUCCCGCCUUCACACAUACACUUAGACACAGAAAAUUUAGAAUAAGUGAGUUUUCAUAACCUGAUGGUUUAAGUUUGUGGACGAGAUUAGAGCCUAAAUUAAAUCCAAAUUAGUAAGAGAAAACAAGAGGCUGUUUUAACCUAAUAUACAGUGUUAUAGAAACUUGUUUUUGAAAGCAGAAACAUGAAUUAUGUAAAUUAUAUCUGUUUAAACUAAAGUUACUCUUGAUUAUGCAAUUUCGAAGUUUCUAGGGAAGUCAUGAAAGUGUCUUACUGCGAACCUAAAAUUUUUUGUAGAGGAAGUGUGCAUGCACAGUACUAUCAUAGGUUUGUUUUCUGAAAGUGUCAGAAAGAGGAUUUCAAAGGACAUUUUUGGCAAUCAAGUUCAAUUUUCUGCUAUUUCUGGCUAUGUUGUUACAAUCAUUUUUAAGAUUUGGACAUCUACAUUAAAAUAAACUUUUUUUCCCAGAGUUCCUCAAUAUUUUCUUCCCAAACUCCUCACUCUAGAUGGAUGGAUUUUAGAGCUUCUCUUAGACGAUAAGUGUUACGAUCUCUUUCUACUGAAAUGGGAUACAGUAUUAGCCACAUCCAAGGUUUCUGUUUACUCUCCUUACUCACAUAUUUAUCUUUACCCUAUUUUGAAAUUGCUUUAAAAUUAAGUUCUGAAUUAUCUUUUUGAAUAUAUGUCUUCUUUGGUUUUUAUUCAAGCUUCAAGCUGCUCCCUGUAAUUAUUGAUCUGUUAGCUAUGUAUUGACUCAAGAAAGGAUAAAACUUAUUCAUUCAAAGAACUCAUGAUGUAAAUUUAUGAGUGAAAUAUUUUCCUUCACUGCACUAUGUAGUUACAUAAAGCUGUCCAUUAAGAAGUGUAUUAAUACAAACAUUUUCAUCAAUCUGUGGAGUUUACCCUGGUUCUUAAUUGAGGCCAUUCACAACAGUAGGCAGUAAUUGAUUUAACAAUAGUCUUGGGAUGACUCAUACACAAAACUAUUUUUGAAAUACACCAUAAAAAUUUUGCCAAAAGGCAAGUAGUUAUUCUCUCCAAAGCUGAUAAUAUUUUGCUGCAUCUGCAGAGACCAGGCAGAUUCUCCCCGAGCACUCUUUUUUCCCCUUCAGCUUCCUACUCAAACUAAGAAUAUAAUUCUUAACUCCUUCAGCACUGAAUUCCCUAUUCCCUGCAACUGUUCUAAUUCAGAUAAUAGCCUUUAUAUUAUUUUUAUGGAGCAAUGUCUUUUGCCAAGUGUCUUUAAAAGUGAUUUUCUGUGAUGCACAUAGAUUGAAUUUUCAGUUCUAUGCUUUCCAUACCUGAAACUGAUCAAAAUAUUUCAGAAGGCACAUAUUGCUAUACUGAAUCUGGUGAUGUCUGUAUGUCAUGAGCCCCUCCUUUUCUGUCUAAAGCUUUGUAGUAAUGUAUAUGAUUGCAGAAUUAUUUGGUCUUGCAAAGCACUGCCUUCUCUACAUCUGAACUCCAUUAUGUUUUAGAAGCCUAAAGACUGUUUCCCAAAAUAUCCAAUCCAGAAACUGCUUGUUGGACAGUCUCAUGAACUGGGAAGAGAGAAUUCAAUCUAUGACAAAACACAGCUGCUUCCUUCAGAAACCAUUGUUUGGAAAAAGAUGUGAUUACUAGGGUGCAUUCACUUGUCACACUGCUUAGAGGUUGGAGCAUCCUGGUGGAAGGCAAUAUACAUAGGUUUAAUCAUCUCUCCCUAGAUAAUUUAUGCCCAUUACAUUUAGUGUGGGAUUAAAACAAAAUAGUAAUGCCAACAAUGUUAUUCACCCACUAUGGAGCCUAUCCAAAACUAAUAUUUCUAGCUGGGUGCUCUGGAUAUCACUGUCAGCCCCAAGCUAAGCUAUAGCUUUAUUGGGAGGCAGUUUGCUUGGGAUAUGAAAGCUGUGCAUUUAAGCUUGUUGGAGUUGAAGGGAAAGAUAUAAUUCUCUGCAACAUUCUACAUUCAAAGGGUAGGUAGCAUCAGACAUGCUUUAAAAAAGUUGAGCCCUUCUUGAUUGUUUAUAUGUUUAGCCUAAGGAAAGAAUUUAGCGCCUGAGUCCAAAUCGCUUAGUGAAGUCUCUUUAGAUUAAAAAAAACCCCAAAAACUGUAAACUCUGUAUCCCUCCAGAUGUCCUCACUGAGAAUGUGGAAUAGCUAAGCCUUGACAAGUUUAGUGAAUUUCUGUAUCAGCAGUAGCAUUGACCUGCAUCUUCAUCCUGCAACAGCUGGUGAUACUUGUACUUCUAACAGCCAGGGAACGAACACUCUUCAGCACUAAGGACAACUGACACAGACUGGCCACAGCCACAUAAUAUUCUUAGCCUUGGGCCUGUGCCUGGGACAGUAUCCCUGGAUCCAAAGAUACAGUAAUGACUUCAUUUUCUUUAUUUUUCAGUUAAUAUGUUUGAAAUAAUGAAAGAAUGUUGAAGCCCAAAAUGUUGUUUGCAAAGCUUGUUACUGAGGCCAUCUGUUACAGAUUCUGAGGUGUCAUAGACAGGACUUGGGGGUGUAUUCAAGGUGGAAGACUUGCUGGAAUAGUGCUGGAGGUGGUAGUAGGUUAGUAGGGGAUAGCAGGGUAGAGAGAGCUCUGGGUGGGGCAAUGGCCCUUGGUUCUUCCAAUGCCAAGUGUUUUCCAGAAGACUGUUAGAGGGUACAGGUGAAAACCAUGCCAGAGAUUAUGUUAAUUAUUAAGCAGUAUGAAUGGUUGAGCUCAGGGUUUGAGCUUGCUAUCUAGUCCCACUUUAUUCAGCAGUGUAGACAUAGACAAAUGAGAUAAGGUUUUACUGCUGGGGUAAUUUUCCCCUAAUCCAAAAAAUGUGCAAACAUGAGUAGAUAAGGAGACGGAAGCAGGUAACAUCCAGCUGGUUUCAAUAACAAGGACUGGGCAAAGGUAGUGCAAAACACUUGGUUUUCCCCUUCAAAGCUGAAGUAAACUAUUCUUUUACCCUCUACUACACAUACAUAUUUACUGGAUUUUGUUAGAAUGGGAAUGCUAGAGACGCCAGAGCAGAAAUGGAAAGUAAAAGAGGAAACCAGAUCACAGAGGUGCAAAGAAAGAAAUAUGAAUGUGUUAUAAACUCAGAAGUACAGAAGUGAGUAUAAACAGGACUUUCAUAAAUACAACAGAUUGCAAUGACACCUUCAUCCCAGGCCCACAAUAGAUCUUUGGAAGGACUAUUGACGUCACUUCUAUGGUAUCACCUUUUUUUCAGGUAUUGGUUUUAAAUAGCAGUUUCAAGUAAUAAAUUAGUCUAGAAGUAUGUCAGUAAAACAGAACAGCUUCCUGAAUUUUAAAAAGGAACUGUUACAUCUUUGGACAACCCUGGUAUCCAAAUCUAUCUCUCUUAAAAAUUUUUAAAGUAGACGUCAUCCUUUGAAACAUUUUGAGACAGUAUGUCUAUAAAUUACAAUAAAAUAAGAAAUAUGCAGAUACAUUCAAAAUAUAAACACAAAAAUAUGGCAGUUUAUUUCAUUCUUUAUAGAUUUUUAUAUUAUCACUUAAUUCUAAAUUAUGAUUUUGUAGCUUUCCAAAUUACUCAAAUUCCUACCUUUAGUAUAAUUUGUCAGUCUUUGGCUGAAAAUUACUCUAGUAAAUUCCUUAAGGUCAACAGAAAUGACAAGAGAUUUUGCAGUUGACCGGUUUCUGAAACAAAUAUAUAAAGAAAAAACUUCUAAUUAUAUUAAUUUCAAUUAAUUGUAAUUAUAUUACAAUUCAGUGGUAAUAGUGUUUUUAAAAUGCAGAACACUGUUGCUGUUUCUUGAAAAAAUCUCUUUUAGUAUAAUUUUCCUCACAACAUUCCAUGCUGUAGGUUUUGUGAUGUAGUUAUUUAAAGGGAUGUUAAAUCACUUUUUAAAAUAUUAUAGGUGAGCAUCAGUUACAUGCUUAUACUAUUUAUUUCAAUAAGACAAAUUAAAUGCUGUGACUCCAUCCUCAACCAAGUGCUUUGACUGCAGUAGAAAUGUGGAUCUGUAAAGGGCUGAAAUGGCAGGUCAUUCUCCACAUAGUGCUUUUACCUUUCAGUUACAGUAUGAUUUUUGAGACUUAGAGUGAGAGGUACUUCACAGAAAAAUGGCCUGAAGUGAAGAAGAGCUGAUCAAGCCUUUUGUCAUUGAAAAGUAAAUCAACAGCCGGCUGGUUUUAGAAUCUCAUGGACAUGGCUUUAUAGUGUCUCUCUGAGAAAUAUUAUUUCUAAUUUUUUGAGGGGAUAAGCAAAUCUGUAAGAAAUGUUUGCUGAGAAGUCAAGAUCCCAAGCUGGGAAGGAGGGAUAAGAUAUAACUGUAACACCUUUGAUUCCUUUGAUGAUCCCCACACUAUAACUCUCUCUUACUUUGGGCAGGAGCACUAGCCUACUAUUUUUUAGUGCAUUGACAGCUAUAUAAAGCUGCAAAGGUACUGAAUCAAGUACAUUAUUUACUAGCAAAGAUGACAGUGGGAAAAGCUUGAAUGACAGCUCUAUGCUCUGCAUUACCAUCUAAAGAUGAAGAUCUGAGAACAAAUCUAUCAUAAGGGCUUUGUACCGUAAGGACUUCUUUGAGAACAAAGCCCAAAGGGCUGCAAUCACGUACUCAUGAGCCUGAGAAAUCCAGGUCUCCUUUAUGAGUAGGAGAAAAGAUGCUGUACUGCUUCUUUCAAUGGCCAGUUACAAGCACAAAUCCCAAUAAACUUCAUUUAAGUACUCUGUGUGUGUACUGUAUUAAAAGGUUUUUCAACUGUCUUGCUUAAAAAGAUCUCUGAUCUGCAUAGAUGAGAUGAUGAUGAUCAGCCUUAGCCACCCAGUCAAGUAAUUUAUUAAGAGCAUGGAUUUUGUCCAGAUUCUGCUUGCUCUGUUUUGUGAGUUGCUGUUCUGGACAGCCUAAAUCCUGAGGAAACUAAAUUAAUUUCCUCACCUGUGUACAGUUCUCCACCUCAUUCACCAAUGACACAUAUUGGCCCUAUACGACUAUAAAAGCAUCUUUUUAUUUUCUUAUAUAAAAGAAAUCUGUCAUGGAACUAAACAAGUUGCCACCAGGUUUGGUUUUUUUGUUGGGCUGAUGUGAUAUUUUCUGAUAGCAAGAGAGACUGUAAUCAGGCAGUCUCUAUCUCUACAGGUGGUAUUAUUUGACAGUGAAACUGGGAAAAACUUUCUGUCCUUGUACCCUAAAAGGCAGGGAACAUGUUCAGAUGAAGUAUAUAAAUAUCAUUGUGAAUGAAGCGAGAAGGCCAAAAUACACUGACAAGGACUGGAAGGGGUUGCUGUAAGCUUUAGUGAUGACGUUUGCUUUGCAUUAGUCCUCUUCAUCAAGGAAAGAAUGCACUUCAUACAACAGGCUGAUUCAGGGUGUUUGGGAGACUCUGAGAAUCCCUCAUCAAGACAAGUGUGAAUCAUUUCUGUGAGAGAGAAAAAUCAGAUUAAUAAAAAGGAAGGGGACAGCUCAGCAUCAGAGAGAUGAUUCUCUGAGAGGCAGAGAGUCAUAUUCAACAUUGUUCUCCAUGUGAUUUAGGGCAGAAAUUAAAACACAGGUUUCAUCCUGCAUUUUAAGAGCAGAAAUCCCAUUUUGAGAAACACCGAUGAGGUGAAAUUGGUAUUAUGUGUAAUUGUGUAAAUAAGCCUAGUUAUGCAGUAGCUGUAGUUUAUUUAAGUAACUGCCAUAUUUCCAAGUUACUGGGAAUGAAUAUCUGAAUGCAGAUAUUUUCCAGGAUGACGUAAAUGUUUCAUGCCUAAUUUUCAAGUAGUUGUGGUAAAAUAAUCAGCACCUGCUGAUAUGGCUGGAUUUUUGUAGCAUUCUUUUGGUAGCUAGUAAAUCAGCUGAACUAUCUAUCACACAUCACAGGUUUUUUCAUAGUUUAUGGUCAUACCCAAGGAAAGCAUUUCAAUGGAUGUCUCUCAGUAAAUAAAGGAAUGGCCAUCUUGACUUCAGAAACGUAAGGCAAAGCUUUUGUUUGUUUCUUCAGUAAGAUAACUACAUUCUACAAAUAGCCUUGAUCUUUCCCCUCAGAGAUAAUAAAUUUACCAUUAUCUUCUAGAAUUUUCCUAUUUUGUAAUUUAAAUUUGAAUUUCAUCUUUAAAGAAAAAAUGUACAGGAUCAGUAACAGAUGAACCCACAUUUAUUGAAUAAAUUUUGAAAAAUAUAGAAACAGUAAUUUAUAUCCAAGAAGUGCCUGAUUUUUCUGAUUAACAAGUUAACAAUGUCUAUUCCCAAGGCUGUAAUUUCUAUCACUAUAAGAUAUAUUAAUGAAAUAAUUAUAUAUUGUAAAAUUGGUGAAUGUAUAGCUUCAUGUUAAGCUCUAUAUUUCAUGGUACAGCUUUUUAUCAGUAUAUUUUGUAAUAUGGUAAUGGAGCUUGGUAAUCAUAAAAAGACCAUUAUGCCAGAUGGGUAAAUAAAUAAGUAAACAAAUAAGCAAAACAAAAAAACCCAACCAGCACAACAAAAAACCCCAGCAAACCAAGGGCAGGUACUUGGAUAGAAACAUCUAUGAAAUAAAUGUUUACAUAGUAUUGAAUUUGAAUAAAAAAUUCAAAACUUUUUUUUUGUGAAGUAUUUCCACACAAUAAAAACUCGCAUGUGUAGGUGAAUGAAUUCUAAAAACUGCCAAUGAAAUUCAACACUGAUAAUAGCACAGAAAUGCACAUAGAAAGAACAAUCUUAGCUGUAGAUACAAUCACAUGCAUCAGUGUAACUGUUUCCACAUGAAAAGAGAUCUUGGGAGGUUUUUUGCGGUCAGUUCCCUGGCAAUCUGAGUUUGAUACAGAGCAGAGCAGGGAACAUAAAUAUCCUAAUGUGUAAACGUGGAAUGUGCAAAUAAUAAAUAUUUUAUUAAUUUCUGAAAAUACAAACACAUAGAAACCUCCAAAACUGUAAAAAGCAUGGAGAAGGGUGUAUGGCAUAAUAAGAGGUAAAAACCUGCUUAGGACAAGUGGAAAAUAAAUUUAAGAUUUUUUGUGUUUCAAAUUCUGAUUGCUUUCACUUCAGAUAUAUAAUUUCCAGAGCAUGUGUUUGGCAUGUUUUUAUCAAAAAGACAAAUAAUUUAGUAUAUUCCAGGAUGCUCUUUAGGAUUGAUGGUUUUUCUUCUAAAUUAAGUGCUUGAAAAUUAGACACUAAAUUUAGUCUUAGCUAUCUCCCUUAUAGAUGCUACAGAAAAGUUUCAGCUCACCUUAACAUAGUGAUCCAAAAUUGCUCCAAUGAGUUGCCCUUGAGGUGUCUAGUUUCAUCCAUCAAUUCUAAAUAUGGCUUAGAGUGUCUAACUCAGCUACAGUAACGUGCUGCUGUUAUUUCUGCCAUACGUAUUUCUGCCACCUCUUUGGUCUACAACACUGUCCUGAAGAAAUCCUUUAUCGUGAUGGAAGGUUGAUCAGCUUUCACUUCACUUCUGAGAUACCUAACUUGUCACAGACUGUUGGCCAUUAUUUUAUCAUACAAACCUUUAACUGAGGACAAAUCAACUAGUUAGCAGUAUAUAAAAGAAAAGUCAAAAAGAGCCCCAAAACAAUCAGUUGGGCAUGCAAAACUACAUCUAGUGCUAGCACUGGCAAGGAAUGAGGAGAGUUUGCAUAUUGUAUACACUGCUUACCUCUCUGCAAUGUAUGCUUAUUUCAAAGCUUCUACUGUUUCAAGAGAUGUUAGUAAUUACAGAAGAAAACAAAUUUUUGAUGGAGUAUGAUGAUUUGAAUGGAAUGGGAACACAUGAAAUAUUAAUAAUAACUUGCAGGUCAUGAGUUAGUGAAAUACUUUUUCAGUUUUCUUGCAAACCAUCAUGGUUUCCUACCCUUGAAAAAAUCAGAGUGGUUAAAUCUCACUGCAAAGAAUUGUUCUUGAAGAUUGUAAUUAAGGUUCAAAUCCAAUUGUAGCCAAAAUAUUGCAUUGUAUAUGUGCAUAGCAUUUUUCUGUACGGUUUUAUCAGUUAAGGCUGUAGUAUUUCCAGUUUUAUUGUUACCUGAGAAAUCCAUUUCCAGCAUAUUUUGUUCAUGACACUGUUCACCCAUUGUAAGCACAUAAGAUUUGUCCUUCAGACACUGCAUAACCUUCCUGUCAGUUUUUGGGAUGAUUUAAUAAAAUUGUUGUUGACUCUAGCAUGCUUAAUGGUCUGGAACAUUUUUGUAUUAACAAUUUGCAUAUUCCUAAUGAAAACACUGAGGUAUUUCACUGUCAGCUGUUUGCCAGUCAUAAAUUUCACCUUGCAACAUUUGGACUGAAAAGCAUUUUUUUCUCCAUGUGCCUUUAUUACAUGUUUUUGCUUCUUGCUAUUCUUUGCUUAGCGUUGAAGCUGAUGUGAAAUGAAGUGUAUAAAUAUGCCUUUUCUUGUAUAUUUUUGCACAAGACAGUAAGGUGGAAAAUCUGAACUUUCUAUGUUUAGCAGGACAAGUCCAACUUAAAAAUGCAGGAGUUUGAUGUGGUUCAGUGAAAGCACAGUCAUAUAUUAGAGGAAAAUAAAGGUAGCAGGACUAAGUGCGGAUUUAGAUACAGAAGACUAUUCAGUAGAAUUAAUGAACAUUACCCUUUUAUUCUUAAGCAAUGAAUGUAAGAGUUAUUUUAUUCCAGGGCAUUAUUAUUAUCUGUAUCCAGCAUGAACUGUGGAAAAUGUACAGUGAUUUGCAUUGCAUAAAAGAGAAGUUAUGUUUGGGUUAGAAUUAGAAGUAUGAAAUAUGUAGUAAUUUUACUCUUGGAGUGUCCCUGUUGAUAUGGCAAGUAUUAUAUUUGGUUUUUAUUAAGUAGGAGAUUAUCUUUCAUCUUAACAAAUGUCUUGCACUUUUACUUUCUAAUGAGACAAAAUGCCUUCCACAGCAAAUUUGGUUGUAAGUUUUGUCAGUAGAAGUUUGCCCUAUUUAACAUUGUUCUUUUCAGAACUUCUCUGUCUUGAGGUCAUUACAGAAUGCUAUUGUUUAGGAGGUUUUUUUUGUGAAAUUAUUAGCACAAUGUCUCUACAUAGGACAUCAACACUGGAGUCAGAGAAAAUGAAAAAAAGAAAUAAAAAUGCUUUUCUCUUCCAAGAAGUUUGUGAUCUGUCAUUAAUUCAGAAUUAAACUUUUGGGCACUCAGCAAAACAGAAGAUCCUUCUGAUGAAAAAGUUUAUUGCCAAGUUCAAAUCAAUCAAAAUAAUUCAAAAUAACAUACAUUCCAGAUUUUUCCUUAUGAAAAUACUUUUCUUUUCCAAGAUUGCUCCAUCUCUACAACAUAAUGAAAUACACGUGCUUCACAAGAAUGGCAACGAACAAACGCUGGUUCAUAGAUGUUCUCUUCUCCUUCCAAGGAAAAGUACAGGCAAGGGAGGAGCAUAAUUUGCAAUGACUCUUUUCAGGAGGGAGUUUACAGCUCUAGUCUUGAGUUAAACAGCCAGUUAAACAGCUGAAAGACAUGCAGUCCAGAGCUCUGCCUGUUGUCUUGGGGUGUAGGGGUGUGUGGGAGGGUGUGUGUGUGGGGAAGGAUGGUGGGAGUGUGUGUGUGUUCCUGCUACAAAAGAAAGGUGCCUGCUUUAAAAACCUUUGCUUCUGUCACAGAUUCCUAAAUCAGACACACAGGGAGUUUCAAUAGGACAUAAUCGCUGUCUUUGAAAUAUUCAGGUCCCUAGCUUUUGACAAACUACAAUAUCAAUUCAACAAUUUUUCCUCUGUUUUUCUGAAAAUUAUUAUAACCAAAAUUGAAAGUGAAAAAUGAGUCUGUGACAAAUAAGGUCAGAUUUUGCUCCUAAAUAUAAUUUUCUCUUAGCAUGCUGGUAUUACUGUUAUGUCUAUUAUGACAUUUCUAUGAAUAAAUAGUUAAUAUUAUAAGAAGAUCUAUUUCUAUUCCAAGUGAUGCUUUUCCAUUUUUUCCCUAGAAAUAUUCAACCAGAAUGUGAUUUACAAGUAUUACCUAGUUUUUAUGUUGCAGGGUCUUUCUUUCUGUAAGAUACUUACAUACACAAAUUCAUAAUAUAUAAGCGUACAUAUAUUCAAAUAUACUUUUCUACAGUUUUGAAUCUGCCAAUUUGAAUCAUGAAAUCAUAUAACUGCUGCAAAUAGAGCAAGCAAUUUUUGUUGCAUCAAAAGACUCAAUGUACAAACUUAUGAUGAUUAUAAGAACAUUUCUUUACAGUGAAAAUAUUACUAUUUCAAAUAUUAAGUUACAGUGACAAGGUCCCCAUUGCAAUGUGAUUUUAUAUACUUCUUCAAUCUUUCAUAAUCCCUCCUUUCUGUGACAAGGCUGUCAAAGAAAUGCAUGCAGUAUGUUUUUAGGUAACCCUGGAAUCAUUAUAUGUAGAGCUCAGAAGCAGACCAAAGGAGAGACACAGAAGUAAAAUAGAAAGGAUAUCCUUAUGUUCCUUCCACACAUGAAACUCUAGGAAGCAUAGGCUUGAAAGAAAAUCAAGCUGCAGGGAUUAGACAUCAAUGUAAUUUUAGAGCAGUUACUGCAGAUGAACAGAAUUUCUGGAAACCAAGACAGGCAACCACUUUAAACAUGCAGGUAUAGUCUCAGAGGAUAAACUGUGCCUCAUAGAAUAUUUAGCCUUUUGCCAUCAUGAAAGUCGUUACCCUGUUUUCCAGUUCUGGAUGGUGAAUGCCAUAUUCUCAUAGAGAUUACAUGGAAUUGCAAAAUUUCUAAGCAACUGGGUUUUGUGUCUACCUGCUCUUAUAGAGAAAUGUGUACAUUCCUCUAAAAAGGUUUGGUGGCAUUUUCUUUCACAGGAAAGCAUUGCAAUUGACAGGAUAAACAUUACAUGUUUACACAGUUGAAUAAAUAUUUUACAGGGAAAAUAUUAAAUCAGUUUUCCAUUUAGAUGGUCUGGGACAGUUGGAAGACAUUUACAUUUGUAGCAUCCUCUCUCUUAGUGAGUGGAAGGGAUUGUAAUAGUGUAAAAUUACUGCUAAUAAAGCUAAAGUAUUCUUUGACAGAACUCCAUAUACUGUAUUAGGAGUGUAAGUACAGAGGAAAAAAGUGGCUCCAGAGAAACCUGUUUUAGACAAUGAAGUUUUCUUUUGUGGGCUUUUUUUCUGUUUUGUAGUGGGUUAUUUGUUGGGAUUUUUUUCCCUCACGGAAAUUCCUUAGCAAUAGAAAGAGUAACUCUGAUGCUGAUGACGAUUUCUACACUGGCAACAGACAAUAUAGUGGUGUCAGAGUGUCUGUUUCCAUCAUGACAUUCCCAGGGGACCAGUAUGAAACUAACCUAGUUAGCAGUCACAGCCAGUGAUAUCAGACUUCCCUAAAAUUCUCUUUUCAACAAAACCAGCCUCAUCUGUUGGCAAUAUCACUGGGUUCCUUAGGCGAUAUGGAAGCCAAAGGCAUUGGGAAUUUUUUUAAAUAAUUUUUAUCAAAAUACUGUUAUUGUUGUUAUUGUUAUCUCUCAUACGUGAAGACUAGGCCAUCUUUCAAGUAGUAUUCUAUUACAUCUCGCAUUCUAUUAAUUUUUAUGAUAAUAAUUUAAAAUUAAGAAUUAUAUCAAGAGUUUGACAUAGAAUGAAUUUGCUAAUUCGUUUUUUCUUGUUCUUAAUUUCUGUCCUCAGGCAAAAGUAAAUAAUACAGUUCAACACUGAGUUUCCCACUGGAUUAUUGCAUUAUACUUUUAAAAUAUAAGAAAGAUCUUAGGGUUCAGAAAGGCUCCACAAAACUUUUCUAUGUAGACAUCAUAGUGUAACAUAUUUUGAUAUAUCUUCUUAUUUAAAUUCCAGUCUGGGUAACUGGAUUCAGAUUCAGAAUAACAAAUUCCUCUGUGUUUCAACUGAGAAUUUCAAGGUUGUCUGUGAGGUGAAGUGUGAGUCUCCUGUCGACAGCACUGGAGACUACAGGGACUUCAUUAGAUACAGUAUCUGUAGAAAAACAGGCAGGUUUAUAGAUGGUAUCUAGAGGAACGGUACAACAGGGAAAGAUUUGAGUUAUGCAAUGAUCAAGGCCAUCAGGAUUAGCAGGAUAACAGGGUGCAAAGAGAAAUGCAGUUUGAUGGGUUUUUUCUCAACUGAAGAAUUCUUUCAAGAAACUCAAAGUAUUGCAAUAAGUCAUUCAUUAAUCAACACCUACAAUCAACAGCCUUAUCUGAGGAAAGGGAGCAAAUCAGAAAACAAAACUGUCCAAAAUCUGGACAUCAUAGUAAUUGAAGGAAGUGACCAAUGGUUUUGAUCUUUUGAACAUUGUGCUUUCAAUUUAAGUAUGUUCCUUGAUCCUGGGUGGUAGAACUCGGAUUAAUAGUAAUGAAAUAGUGAUGGCAUCUCUGCCAUUAUAAUCCAACUUUAUAAAUUGAGGGGAAAUGUUGUUAAAGUUUAUCACUUGGCAGUUUCUAAUUCAUAGUUGAAUAUUCCGCCUAAAAAUAAUCUGGGAGAUGAAAAAGCUAAACUUGCAAGCUUUUGAAUUGCAUCUAAAAGCAUUACAUCAUGUUGCUUGGAGCUUCUCACAUAGAGUGAGAUUUCGGUGUUAAACAGGGAAAAGUGUGAUUAAUUUCCAGAAACAGUGUGAAAGUUGUUGCAAUGGUCAGUUUGUGUGAGCACAGUUUGCAUCAUUCACUAACUAUGCCUUGGUCCAAGUUGAAUUGCAUAUGUAUGAAUUUUGGAUUAAUUUUGCUAUAAGGUUUUGAAAACUAAUCUCUUGUUUACUUGAUAAUACAGUUGAAAUAAAAAAGAUUCAAAGCAUCUUCAACAUAGUGCAAGAGGCUAGACUGACAAGAUAGGAAUGAAAGAGAGACUGGCCAAAGGUUGCGUGUGGAUUUGAGUGACAAGAGUAAUAGAAGUUUCAGGGUUUUGUCAGGUCAGCACCUUUAGCAGCAUGAAGCUUACUUAUCCCUUCAGUCUUGCACUACCUGCAGCUUGUUAAUCACUUGCAGUUCCUGUACAUCAAUAUUUUUCAUCUCUAUGAAAAAACCCAAAACAUGGUGGAAAAAUAGAAGCAUUGUGAAUAAAGCAAGGAUAUUUGCCAAGCUUAUUUUUUAAUUUUUCCCUGGGUCCUUUUCACAGUUGAAAGACUAGAGGCAUAAUUCAUCUGAUAUUUUACGAGAAACUCAAUAUAAUACUUUUUUUUUUAUUACUUUUUAUUUUUCUGUUUUUUACAUCUAAAUGUGGUCAGACAUGACUGACAACCCAUUUUCUAGAACCACUGGAAAUAUGCCAUAGAGCAUCCAUAAAGAUGCUUUCUCCCCUGAAAACACUUUGAUAGAUUUAUGUGCAUGAUACAAUAUCAUGCAAGAAUAUCCAAAGGUGUUUUGAGAGAUCUAGUUUGGUUACUUGCUUAUCUGAGCAUUGUUUAACCCAUACUAACACAUCUUAUUACUUAAAUCCUUGGACUUUCUCCUGCUUUGCGUGUCAGUGGAUCAGCUGUCAAAGUGCAAGGUUUCACAUGUUAUAUUCAGUUGUAUUUUGACCAAAAAAUUCAGAUGGGGACAUUGUAGCACUGAAGUCCACAAUUUAGGAAAAUAUUGUUUUACAAAGGUCUCGGGUAGUAUUUUUCUGGUUAUUUUUGCAGAUUUUGGCUUAUGCAAAAAAUGUGCUUGCAAUACCUUAAAAAUUAGAAGCUGACCCCUGAAACAAACUGAUAAGAGCUGAUUCGGAGACAGAUGAUCUAGAUGACAAGAUUGCAAAAUAUUUCCAAGGGUUCUGCUCGAAUGUUGGUAUCAGAGACCCCUUGACUUCAAGCAAAAAGAACAUUCCACUAAUGGGAUCUUCUCUCUUGGACAAACUGUGAAAUCCCAUGGUUUUUCCAUCUUAUAUUCUUAGUGCAAAAGAUAGGUUGCUAUUAUCUGGGAAUUUGGAUAGACUUUGUGUAUUGUAAGUUAAUCCUUUUUGAUAUUUUUCCUGAAAAUGUUAAUUAAUGUCUGUAUAAUCUAUGCCACAGGAAUAGAGGUGAUUCCUGUCACACAGCCCUUCUGGUACUAUCCAAAUUUCCCAUUACUGUACAUCUGUAUCUUUUAAGUACGCAGAUGCAAUAAUAAGAUGAGCAUAAAUAAUUAUGAAAUUUAUCAAUAAUAGUAUUGGGUGAUGACUAGAAAUCUGAAAUCUACUCACAGUUCUGCUCAUAAGUUUUCACAGCUCUCUGCCCCAUCUUCCUCUCUUCAUAAAAAAACAACAAUCUGUUUCCAUUGUAAAUUUGUGGUGAGGUUUCCUAAUGGAAAUAUUUGUAUGAAUGAUGGAAAGAAUGGCAAGAGUUACCUAACCACAUUUUUGUUGCAAAUGCAUUUAUAUGCAGGUGCAACUUCAGUUAUUAUUAAAUAGGUGUUAUGUUUGUCUUUUAAAAGGACACUCAAUUCAAUGUAGACUUUCUCUGACAAAAGAAAGUGUUUCAUUAAAUCUGAGUUAAAGUUGCCCUUGUAUUUGUGCCUUACCUCAGAAUUAGGGUCAGUGAAAUGUAACAUUUUAAAAUCAGAAAAUUCUGAAUUGUAGGACACGGAGUUGUUAAUCUGCCACCUUUGAGCAACGUCUUUAAAAGUCCGCAAUUAUACAGAUUCACACCUGGUCUUAGCCACCAAAGUCAUAUUUGAGAGCAAACAAAAUGAUAUCUAACUCUUUUUUUACCUUUUCAAAGGUAAAUGUGUGGCUAAAUGAACUAGUUCAAUAUAUCCCCAAGAGCUGUAACAGUGGGUUACAAAUACGAAGUAACCCCAAAUAGGCAAUGUUCUACAAUCCCUUUAUAUAUCUGCAUAAAUUAAGUUGAUUUUUCUGCAGGAUUUUCACUCUCACAGCACUGAAAGAUCAGUGUCAAGAGAUGGCUUGAAUUUUUUUUUCACUGAUGUUGGAUUAAGACACACAGAAAUAUCUCUUUCCUUGAAUAAAGCCAGUACAGGCUCAGACCCAGAUCUCCUUACACUGCCAAGUUUCUCCAACUAAUCCCUUCACCAUUCAAUACCACUGCACUUAGCAUAGUGAAUCCAGCUGAAAUUCAUGUGGAUUUUUGCCAGCAAGGGAGGAACAGUACAGUCAAUAUUUCACUCUCAUAUUUUCACAUUCUUUUUCUAGAUAUUCACAAGUUUAAGUUACAUAUGCAUCAACUCCUUGUUUCCUGGCUUUCAGAUAUCUGAAAGUCACUGGAUUAAACAUUCUGGAAAGAAACAUGACUGUACUGAUAUUUUAGAUCCUGGUAAAAGACAUUUUUGUCAGACAUUUGUUAUGUAGCACACGCUUCAGAUCCAAACAAACACGAUUUUACUGCAUGCCAAGGUAAGUUGCCAAGAAAUGUUUUACACAGAGUGUGGAGAAACAGGGAGGGGGAUUAUGUAGCUGUUAGGAGAUGCUGUAAAUUCUUGAGGUCAUGAAAAAGUUUGUGGAAUAGAGCAAAGUAAAAAGAAUGCGCAGGAUUCAGUAAGAAAAAUAAGGUAAGGUCAGAAGACGUUUUCUUGAUUUAAAGCCCUGGAGUUGGGAUCUGAAGUAGAUGACAGACAAAAAGGUUUUUCUGUAGUGCUUGCUGCUGGCAGUGAUUAUAGGUGUCCUGGGACUAAGCAGUAGGAAACAGAGACAUUGUGAAUACCAAAGGGAACAAGAUCAAGAAUAGAAUCUGCAAGAAUUUCAGCAGACAGUUUAGCCCAAAAGUAAAAUAUAGUUUAAUGGAUUCCUUUUGAACUGGGGGAUGUCUGUGGCAUUGUUUUGUAUAGGAAAAGUGACUAGCUUUGUUCUGUGUUUGUCCUACAAGUCUGGGACUCUGGAGAGAAAAAUAUUGCCAAACCACCAGUCACCCAGAAAAUAUGAAAAGAGACUAGGAUAACUCAUCAAGGAUCCAGUAGGGCCUGUGGAAGCAAAACCAGAAUAAAUGUUAGAGAAAAUGCAUCAUUCAUCUCUGGAGCAGCUACACUCAUGCAAUGACAUUGUACAAGAGAUGAUUACUGAUGAGGUGAUAAAAAGCAGUAGGGAGCCAUGAA